rnacentral:rRNA from 1 species
UACGGGGGGGGCAAGCGUUGUUCGGAAUUACUGGGCAUAAAGGGCGCGUAGGCGGCCUGAUAAGUAGGGGGUGAAAUCCUGCGGCUUAACCGCAGGGCUGCCUUCUAAACUGUCAGGCUCGAGCACAGUAGAGGCAGGUGGAAUUCCCGGUGUAGCGGUGGAAUGCGUAGAGAUCGGGAAGAACAUCAGUGGCGAAGGCGGCCUGCUGGGCUGUUGCUGACGCUGAGGCGCGGACAGCGUGGGGAGCAAACAGGG